GGACUUGUAGCUUAAAGAAAGUAUUUGCUUGUCGAGCAAAAGGUUGCCGUUUCGUAGACGGUCAGGUCCG
rfam:Conidiobolus coronatus NRRL 28638 unplaced genomic scaffold CONCOscaffold_420, whole genome shotgun sequence.